AAAAAAAUAGAAAAUUCACAAACUUCAUCUGAAAAAUGACUUCUUAUUCUUUCCUGUGAAAGAACCCCCCAACCAGUCACAUAUACUAGUUCCUGCCUCAGGGGAGUUUUCUUUUUUUUUUUCUUUUUUUUUUUAAUUAAUUUUUAUUGGUGUUCAAUUUACCAACAUACAGAAAAACACCCAGUGCUCAUCCCGUCAAGUGUCCACCUCAGUGCCCGUCACCCAUUCCCCUCCAACACCCGCCCUCCUCCCCNUCCCCCCAUUCCCACAUCUUCAUGGCCAAUUCUGCCUGUAACACACAAGCCAUGUGCAAGCUAUCUCUGAGCAAAUGGGACAUUUUUGAACCUUUGUCAAGCAACAUGCUGCAGAUAACAAAAUGUACAUGCUGGGACUGAUGAAAUUCUGCAAAGGAACAAUGCAAUGAAUGUCAACAUAGGAUACUACUGCUUCUAAUGAGUAGAGAAUUCCACAAGACUGGCUGCCAUCUUGUCCAUGUAGCUUUUUUGGCUUGGAAAAGUGUCUCCUAUAUAUGUAACUGCACUUCAAAAAGAAAUAUUUGAAAGUACAGAAAGACAUAAAAUUAAAAGUGAGUUUUCCUAUCAACUCCUCCUGCUGCUUUCUUCCAUAAAACUAAAUACUAACCUUUCUAUUAAUCUAUCAACAAUAAAUAUUUCUACUGGCUUCCA
rnacentral:lncRNA from 1 species